rnacentral:rRNA from 1 species
AACGAACGCUGGCGGCAUGCCUAACACAUGCAAGUCGAACGAGACCUUCGGGUCUAGUGGCGCACGGGUGCGUAACGCGUGGGAACCUGCCCUUAUGUUCGGAAUAACUCCCCGAAAGGGGUGCUAAUACCGGAUAAUGUCUUCGGACCAAAGAUUUAUCGCCUUUGGAUGGGCCCGCGUUGGAUUAGCUAGUUGGUAGGGUAAAAGCCUACCAAGGCGACGAUCCAUAGCUGGUCUGAGAGGAUGAUCAGCCACACUGGGACUGAGACACGGCCCAGACUCCUACGGGAGGCAGCAGUGGGGAAUAUUGGACAAUGGGCGAAAGCCUGAUCCAGCAAUGACGGGUGAGUGAUGAAGGCCUUAGGGUUGUAAAGCUCUUUUACCCGGGAUGAUAAUGACAGUACCGGGAGAAUAAGCUCCGGCUAACUCCGUG